GUCUUUUAUCUUUCCUUAUCAUUCUCUUGCCCGGCCGAAUACUAUGUUAUUGAAAUUGCGCUGGACGGAGAACUGAUAAGGGCUUAUAUAAGACACGUGGCA